rnacentral:rRNA from 1 species
AGAGUUUGAUCCUGGCUCAGGAUGAACGCUGGCGGCGUGCCUAACACAUGCAAGUCGAACGGGGAUUAUUGAUGAAGCUUGCGAUUUGAUAAUCCAAGUGGCGGAUGGGUGAGUAACGCGUGGAUAAUCUGCCCAUAAGAGGGGGACAACAGCUGGAAACGGCUGCUAAUACCGCAUAAGCUGGCAGGGGCGAGAGCCCGAGUCAGAAAAGGUGGCAGCAAUGCUAUCGCUUAUGGAUGAGUCCGCGUCUGAUUAGCUAGUUGGUGAGGCAAGAGCUUACCAAGGCGACGAUCAGUAGCCGGCCUGAGAGGGUGAACGGCCACAUUGGGACUGAGAGACGGCCCAAACUCCUACGGGAGGCAGCAGUGGGGAAUAUUGCGCAAUGGGGGAAACCCUGACGCAGCGACGCCGCGUGAGCGAAGAAGGCUUUAGGGUCGUAAAGCUCUGUUAUAAGGGACGAACGGCAGGUGUGAGAAAAUUGCACCGGCGUGACGGUACCUUAAGAGGAAGCCCCGGCUAACUACGUGCCAGCAGCCGCGGUAAGACGUAGGGGGCGAGCGUUGUCCGGAAUUACUGGGCGUAAAAGAGCACGUAGGCGGGAAUCUAAGUCGGAUGUGAAAGACCGGGGCUCAACUCCGGGAUUGCAUCGGAAACUGGAUUUCUUGAGGGCAGGAGAGGAAAGCAGAAUUCCUGGUGUAGCGGUGAAAUGCGUAGAAAUCAGGAGGAAUACCGGUGGCGAAGGCGGCUUUCUGGACUGACCCUGACGUUGAGGUGCGAAAGCGUGGGUAGCAAACAGGAUUAGAUACCCUGGUAGUCCACGCCGUAAACGAUGGAUACUAGGUGUAGGAGGUAUCGACCCCUUCUGUGCCGGAGCAAACGCAAUAAGUAUCCCGCCUGGGGAGUACGAUCGCAAGGUUGAAACUCAAAGGAAUUGACGGGGGCCCGCACAAGCGGUGGAGCAUGUGGUUUAAUUCGAUACAACGCGAAGAACCUUACCAGGUCUUGACAUCCAAAGAAUACCGAUGAAAAUCGGUAGUGCCUUCGGGAGCUUUGAGACAGGUGGUGCAUGGUUGUCGUCAGCUCGUGUCGUGAGAUGUUGGGUUAAGUCCCGCAACGAGCGCAACCCUUGCUAUUAGUUGCUAACAGAAGAUGAGCACUCUAAUGGGACUGCCGGUGACAAGCCGGAGGAAGGUGGGGAUGACGUCAAAUCAUCAUGCCCUUUAUGACCUGGGCAACACACGUGCUACAAUGGGCGGUACAGAGAGCAGCAAGACCGCGAGGUGGAGCGAAUCUCAAAAAGCCGUUCACAGUUCGGAUUGUAGUCUGCAACUCGACUACAUGAAGUCGGAAUCGCUAGUAAUCGCGAAUCAGCAUGUCGCGGUGAAUGCGUUCCCGGGCCUUGUACACACCGCCCGUCACACCACGAAAGUCGGCAACACCCGAAGCCGGCGAGCUAACUAGCAAUAGAGGCAGCCGUCGAAGGUGGGGUUGGUAAUUGGGGUGAAGUCGUAACAAGGUAACC